GGUUGAAUGUCCGAGCGGUCUAAGGAGCACGCCUCGAAAGCGUGUGAGGUUUUCAGCCUCCGAGAGUUCGAAUCUCUCUUCAACCG
rnacentral:tRNA from 1 species